AUAGCGUAUAUUAAAGUUGUUGCAGUUAAAAAGCUCGUAGUUGAACCUUGGAUCUGGCUGCUCGGUCCGCCUAACCGCGUGCACUGAUGCGGCCGGAUCUUUCCUUCUGGCUAGCCUCAUGCUCUUCACUGGGUGUGUUGGGGAUCCAGGACUUUUACUUUGAAAAAAUUAGAGUGUUCAAAGCAGGCCUAUGCUCGAAUACAUUAGCAUGGAAUAAUAGAAUAGGACGGCGGUUCUAUUUUGUUGGUUUCUAGAGCCACCGUAAUGAUUAAUAGGGAUAGUCGGGGGCAUCAGUAUUCAAUUGUCAGAGGUGAAAUUCUUGGAUUUAUGGAAGACUAACUACUG
rnacentral:rRNA from 1 species